rnacentral:rRNA from 1 species
AUGGAUGCCCUGGACUCUUCUAUCCGCAAGCUUUCUGCCAACCUCAGGAUCUUCACUUUCAAAGGAGGAUUUGCUUACAAACCAGAUGUCCCAGGAUGGAUUACCAGACCACCAUUCCACCGGGACUCUCAUCUUCGGGAGCUCAAUCUCGGGGGCUGCAGGUUUCAAAGGUGCCCCGAGUGGAUUGGUGAGCUCCACGGCCUCUACAAGUUGGGCAUUGUGGUGAGGGAGGUGGCUGAUGGUGUGAGUAUUGUUGCACGGCUGCCUUCACUUGCCCACUUCUAUUUGAUUGUUUCUGGUAUGGGUGAAGAAGAAAAGGAAGAAAGUGUAGUCAUCCCUGGCACUGGCAGCGGGGCAUUCCGAGCACUCAAGCAGAUGCUCUUCAACUGUCCAAAGGUGUCACUGAACUUUGAAGCUGGGGCUAUGCCCAAGCUAGAGAAGCUUUCCUUGCGGUUCCGUCACAACAUGGCUCCUCAGUUCCUACAGGUUGGCAUCCAGCACUUGCCUGCUGGCACCCUUAAACAAAUCUGGUUACAUGUGUACAGCAAUCAAACACAAAACAAAACAUCUGUGAGGCACCUGUUGGAGGGAGCAUUUAAGCAGCAUCAUCCAAGUGCCGACAUCACUGUUGACUUCAUUUAA